AGUGAACGCUGGCGGCGUGCUUAACACAUGCAAGUCGAACGAGAACGGGUUAUAGCUUGCUAUAAUUGUCAGCUAAGUGGCGCACGGGUGAGUAAUGUAUAGGUAAUAUGCCUCUUACUAAGGGAUAACAAAUGGAAACGUUUGCUAAUACCUUAUACUCCUUAUUAACAUAAGUUAAUAAGGGAAAGAUUUAUUGGUAAGAGAUUAGCCUGUAUUGUAUCAGUUAGUUGGUGGGGUAAUGGCUUACCAAGACUAUGACACAUAACUGGUUUGAGAGGAUGAUCAGUCACACUGGAAAUGAGACACGGUCCAGACUCCUACGGGAGGCAGCAGUGGGGAAUAUUGCACAAUGGACGAAAGUCUGAUGCAGCAACGCCGCGUGGAGGAUGACACAUUUCGGUGCGUAAACUCCUUUUAUAUGAGAAGAUAAUGACGGUAUUAUAUGAAUAAGCACCGGCUAACUCCGUGCCAGCCGCCGCAGUAACAC
rnacentral:rRNA from 1 species